rnacentral:rRNA from 1 species
UACGUAGGGUGCGAGCGUUGUCCGGAAUUAUUGGGCGUAAAGGGCUCGUAGGCGGUUUGUCGCGUCGGGAGUGAAAACACUGGGCUUAACUCGGUGCUUGCUUCCGAUACGGGCAGACUAGAGGUAUUCAGGGGAGAACGGAAUUCCUGGUGUAGCGGUGAAAUGCGCAGAUAUCAGGAGGAACACCGGUGGCGAAGGCGGUUCUCUGGGAAUUACCUGACGCUGAGGAGCGAAAGUGUGGGGAGCGAACAGG